GACGGAGGAUGCAAGCGUUAUCCGGAAUGAUUGGGCGUAAAGCGUCCGCCGGUGGCAGUUCAAGUCUGCUGUCAAAGACCGGGGCUUAACUUCGGAAAGGCAGUGGAAACUGAACAGCUAGAGUAUGGUAGGGGCAGAGGGAAUUCCUGGUGUAGCGGUGAAAUGCGUAGAGAUCAGGAAGAACAUCGGUGGCGAAGGCGCUCUGCUGGACCAUAACUGACACUCAGGGACGAAAGCUAGGGGAGCGAAUGGG
rnacentral:rRNA from 1 species